rnacentral:rRNA from 1 species
CGGAAAGCCUGACGCAGCAACGCCGCGUGAGGGAUGACGGCCUUCGGGUUGUAAACCUCUUUCAGCGGGGACGAAGCGAAAGUGACUGUACCCGCAGAAGAAGCGCCGGCUAACUACGUGCCAGCAGCCGCGGUAAUACGUAGGGCGCAAGCGUUGUCCGGAUUUAUUGGGCGUAAAGAGCUCGUAGGCGGCCUGUCGCGUCGGAUGUGAAAACCCGGAACUCAACUCCGGGCCUGCAUUCGAUACGGGCAGGCUUGAGUACUGCAGGGGAGACUGGAAUUCCUGGUGUAGCGGUGGAAUGCGCAGAUAUCAGGAGGAACACCGGUGGCGAAGGCGGGUCUCUGGGCAGAAACUGACGCUGAGGAGCGAAAGCGUGGGGAGCGAACAGGAUUAGAUACCCUGGUAGUCCACGCCGUAAACGGUGGGCACUAGGUGUGGGGACCAUUCCACGGUCUCUGCGCCGCAGCUAACGCAUUAAGUGCCCCGCCUGGGGAGUACGGCCGCAAGGCUA